ACGAUCAGUAGCCGACCUGAGAGGGUGAUCGGCCACAUUGGAACUGAGACACGGUCCAAACUCCUACGGGAGGCAGCAGUGGGGAAUAUUGCACAAUGGGCGAAAGCCUGAUGCAGCAACGCCGCGUGAGGGAUGAAGGCCUUCGGGUCGUAAAACUCUGUCCUCAAGGAAGAUAAUGACGGUACUUGAGGAGGAAGCCCCGGCUAACUACGUGCCAGCAGCCGCGGUAAUACGUAGGGUGCUAGCGUUGUCCGGAUU
rnacentral:rRNA from 1 species